GCAUUGGUCAUUCAGAGGAAGAAUUCUCCUCUUCCAUGCAGGAGACCCAGGUUCAAUUCUUGGCCAAUGCA
rnacentral:tRNA from 1 species